rnacentral:ribozyme from 11 species
AAAAAAAAAAAGAAAACCAAAAAUGAGAUUUUGGCAUUUAUUAUUUUUUUUUUU